GACGAACGCUGGCGGCGUGCCUAAUACAUGCAAGUCGAGCGGACAGAAGGGAGCUUGCUCCCGGAAGUUAGCGGCGGACGGGUGAGUAACACGUGGGCAACCUACCCUGUAGAUCGGGAUAACAUCGAGAAAUCGGUGCUAAUACCGGAUAAUCAUUUGAAGUGCAUGCUUCGAAUGUAAAAGAUGGCUCCGGCUAUCACUACGGGAUGGGCCCGCGGCGAAUUAGCUAGUUGGUAAGGUAAUGGCUUACCAAGGCAACGAUGCGUAGCCGGCCUGAGAGGGUGAUCGGCCACACUGGGACUGAGACACGGCCCAGACUCCUACGGGAGGCAGCAGUAGGGAAUCUUCCGCAAUGGACGAAAGUCUGACGGAGCAACGCCGCGUGAGUGAUGAAGGUUUUCGGAUCGUAAAGCUCUGUUGUUAGGGAAGAACAAGUGCCGUUUGAAUAAGGCGGCACCUUGACGGUACCUAACCAGAAAGCCACGGCUAACUACGUGCCAGCCGCCGCGGUAAAAC
rnacentral:rRNA from 1 species